CUGCAGACAUAAACAUGGUGGCGCAACCCGGGCAUACCGGUUGGUAGAAAUACUAAGCGCUAUUGUUAUAUAGCCUACACUGUUCACAGUUUCCACCAUGGCACAGAGGUGGUGGUGUGUGCAGCAGCAGCACAGGUCCAAGACAGGAGAAAACAGUGGUAUAUGGAACUGGACAGUUCUGUUUUAAGGUUGUGGAGAGCAGUGCGAGGAGAGGUUGACACUGAGUGGUCCUGUGAGUCAGGAACAACUGGCUGGAAAUGAAUACUUGCACAUGGUCAAGGACCUUGCAGAGAUGAGGCAUGAUGGACUGGAAGGGUUGCCAGGCAGUAUUGGGCUUGAACGCAGGGUGCCAUUUUGUGUUAGCGGACAGAAACCGAGAUAUUACUCGAACAUUUCCUGGGACAGUGCCCUGACAGCCAGCACCCAGAUUACGUUUCUUUAGUUGGACCUUCUUUUUAUUUGUGACGCCCCUCACAUGUAUGUUACAGCUAGUGUUUGUUUGAAGGCCUGAAUGAUACCUCUGUUGAUUUGUUAAUGUAAUAUGUAUAAAGAUUGUUUUAGGAAGAAUGGAUGAGGGUCAGUGAACAUUAAGGUGUGAUAGUGCUUUACUGUCCACACCACAAUUCACCAGUGUAGAACUCUACAGGUCUUUAGUACAGGUCUGUGGAUGUUGGAGGUCUACACUAAUCCAAAAGUAAGGUGAGGUACGUUUAUUUGCACAUUUCAGACGCAGAGGCAAUUCAAAGUGCUUUCCAUGAUUAUUAAAACAUGAUAAUAGAACAGAGAGGAACACAAUAAAUAAACAUAAUGCAAUAACAGUUUCAUAAAAACAAUGCAUUAAUGAGAUAUAAAAUAGUUUAAAAACGACAUUGUAAAUAUGGUAAGUGCUAAAACAAGUUAAAAG